GACGAACCGUGCGAACGUUGUUCGGAUUCACUGGGCUUAAAGGGAGCGUAGGCGGGCUACCAAGUCCGGGGUGAAAUCCUCCAGCUUAACUGGAGAACUGCCUCGGAUACUGGAAGUCUCGAGGAGGAUAGGGGCAAGUGGAACCGUGGGUGGAGCGGUGAAAUGCGUUGAUAUCCAUGGGAACUCCGGUGGCGAAGGCGACUUGCUGGAUCCUUUCUGACGCUGAGGCUCGAAAGCCAGGGGAGCAAACGGG
rnacentral:rRNA from 1 species